AAGUCGUAACAAGGUUUCCGUAGGUGAACCUGCGGAAGGAUCAUUAUCGAGUUAGGGUUCUCUUUGAGGCCCGACCUCCCAACCCUUUGUUUAAUAUGACCUCUGUUGCUUCGGCGGGCCGUCUCCCCCGCAAGGGGAUGCGCCGGCGGUCCUCAGUGACCUCUGGAGAGCGCUCGUCGAUAGCCAUCUCUAAAACUCUUGACAAAACGACCAGUCUAAAAAUGUACACGUUAGCAAUAACAAAACAAAACUUUCAACAACGGAUCUCUUGGUUCUG
rnacentral:misc_RNA from 1 species